rnacentral:antisense_RNA from 1 species
CUUCAGCGAUCCGAGCCACAGCGGACGAUCCGAGUCGCGGUCUUGGCCGUAUGUAGCCAGCAGGGCUUGGGCCUC